GUAGUCAUAUGCUUGUCUCAAAGAUUAAGCCAUGCAUGUCUAAGUAUAAGCAAUUAUACGGCGAAACUGCGAAUGGCUCAUUAUAUAAGUUAUCGUUUAUUUGAUAGCACCUUACUACUUGGAUAACCGUGGUAAUUCUAGAGCUAAUACAUGCUAAAAAUCCCGACUUCGGGAGGGAUGUAUUUAUUAGAUUAAAAACCAAUGCCCUCUGGGCUCUCUGGUGAUUCAUGAUAACUUCUCGAAUCGCAUGGCCUUGCGCCGGCGAUGGUUCAUUCAAAUUCUUCCCUAUCAACUUUCAAUGUUUGGGUAGUGGCCAAACAUGGUUGCAACGGGUAACGGGGAAU
rnacentral:rRNA from 1 species